CGGGGUGGAGUAAUGUCUGGGAAACUGCCUGAUGGAGGGGGAUAACUGCUGGAAACGGGAGCUAAUACCGCAUAACGUCGCAAGACCAAAGAGGGGGACCUUCGGGCCUCUUGCCAUCGGAUGUGCCCAGAUGGGAUUAGCUAGUAGGUGGGGUAACGGCUCACCUAGGCGACGAUCCCUAGCUGGUCUGAGAGGAUGACCAGCCACACUGGAACUGAGACACGGUCCAG
rnacentral:rRNA from 1 species